GGAGGAGGGAGGGGUUUAGGUAGAUGCCCAAGGAGCCCUCCUGAUGGGGUAGGGAGGCCACCCGUUCAGGGCCCGGUCUCGGGUCCCAAGUGGUGUCUGGAGCCCUUGGCAGGUGACGCCAGCCAGCCAGGCGCUUCUGGGCUCCUCCCCACGCCCUGGCCGCAGCCAGCCCGUAGGGUCCCGCAGUGACGACGUGAGGGGACUCCUGGGCCCUGGGACGACUCAGCGCCAGCCCCCGGCGCCAGCCCCACGCCCGGUUCCACGCCCCCCAGGCCGGCCAAAGCGUGAAGCCGAGGGCGCCUGGCCUGCAGCCAGGUUCCGCCGCCCGCCGCGCCUCUAGGGCUCCGCGCGCGGAGGGGCGGGCCAUUCAAAUUAGGAAGGGCCUUGCGGGGCCGGCGACGACGCGACGACGGACGCGUCGUUUGUCUUUCAAAAGGAAGAGACUUUACAAAGCCGCACGAGAGCCUAGCGGCUAGUGCCGCCCGUGCCACGGUGGGAGAAGCGGGGGGAGCGAGACGUGGCCGGAGCGGGCGCCGAGUCACCCUUCAUCUACUUAUGAAAAUGAGAGAGAGACCGAGAGAGGCACAGACCCACACAGGCACGGGGGAAGCAGGCUCCAUGCAGGGAGCCUGACUUGGGACCGGAUCUUGGAUCCCCAGCAUCACGUCCGGGUCCGCAAAGGGCUCUCUGCAGGGAGCUUGCUUCUCCCUCUUCUUCCUCUGCUUAGGUCUCUACCUCUCUCCGUGUUUCUCAUGAAUAAAGAGAAUAUUUAAAAUCAAUAAAAUAUUUUUAUUUA